GUGACGAAGCGACGCCGCGUGUGGGAAGAAGGCCUUCGGGUUGUAAACCACUGUCGGGAGUUAGGAAAUGCAGGUGCGUUAAUAGCGCACUUGCUUGACUAAGGCUCCAGAGGAGGCCACGGCUAACUCUGUGCCAGCAGCCGCGGUAAUACAGAGGCGGCAAGCGUUGUUCGGAAUUAUUGGGCGUAAAGAGCACGUAGGCGGCCUUGCAAGUCAGUUGUGAAAGCCUUCCGCUUAACGGAAGAACGGCAUCUGAUACUACAGGGCUUGAGUACGGGAGGGGAGAGUGGAACUUCUGGUGGAGCGGUGAAAUGCGUAGAUAUCAGAAGGAACGCCGGCGGCGAAAGCGACUCUCUGGUCCGAAACUGACGCUGAGUGUGCGAAAGCUAGGGGAGCAAACGGGAUUAGAUACCCCGGUAGUCCUAGCCGUAAACGAUGGGCACUAAGUAGAGGGGUUUUGAUUAUUUCUCUGCCGGAGCUAACGCAUUAAGUGCCCCGCCUGGGGAGUACGGCCGCAAGGCUAAAACUCAAAAGAAUUGACGGGGGCUCGCACAAGCGGUGGAGCAUGUGGCUUAAUUCGAUGCAACGCGAAGAACCUUACCGGGGCUUGACAUGGUAGAAGUAGAAUCCUGAAAGGGUGACGAUCGGUAUCCAGUCCGAAGCUAUCACAGGUGUUUGCAUGGCUGUCGUCAGCUCGUGUCGUGAGACGUUGGGUUAAGUCCCCUAACGAGCGAAACCCUUGUCUUUAGUUGCUAACGGGUAAUGCUGAGCACUUUAGAGAGACUGCCCGUCGUUUAAGACGGAGGAAGGUGGGGACGACGUCAAGUCAUCAUGGCCCUUAUGUCCCGGGCUGCACACGUGCUACAAUGGUCGGUACAAAGGGAUGCUAAGUCGCGAGAUGGUGCGAAACCUAUAAAGCCGAUCUCAGUUCAGAUUGGAGGCUGAAACUCGCCUCCAUGAAGUUGGAAUCGCUAGUAAUCGCGGAUCAGCUACGCCGCGGUGAAUAUGUUCCCGAGCCUU
rnacentral:rRNA from 1 species